rnacentral:pre_miRNA from 1 species
UACAUGAACUCGGUAUGACUAUAAAGUAAUGAAAUUGAUUUUCGUGUGUGACUUAUGGAAGUCCGUUUCAUUACCUUAUAGUCACACCCCAAA